UACGGAGGGUGCAAGCGUUGAUCGGAAUUACUGGGCGUAAAGCGCACGCAGGCGGUUUGUUAAGUCAGAUGUGAAAGCCCCGGGCUCAACCUGGGAACUGCAUCUGAUACUGGCAAGCUUGAGUCUCGUAGAGGGGGGUAGAAUUCCAGGUGUAGCGGUGAAAUGCGUAGAGAUCUGGAGGAAUACCGGUGGCGAAGGCGGCCCCCUGGACGAAGACUGACGCUCAGGUGCGAAAGCGUCGGGAGCAAACAGG
rnacentral:rRNA from 1 species